AGUGAACGCUGGCGGCGUGCUUAGCACAUGCAAGUCGAACGAGAACGGAUUAUAGCUUGCUAUAAUUGUCAGCUAAGUGGCGCACGGGUGAGUAAUGUAUAGGUAAUAUGCCUCUUACUAAGGGAUAACAAAUGGAAACGUUUGCUAAUACCUUAUACUCCUUAUUAACAUAAGUUAAUAAGGGAAAGAUUUAUUGGUAAGAGAUUAGCCUGUAUUGUAUCAGUUAGUUGGUGGGGUAAUGGCUUACCAAGACUAUGACACAUAACUGGUUUGAGAGGAUGAUCAGUCACACUGGAACUGAGACACGGUCCAGACUCCUACGGGAGGCAGCAGUGGGGAAUGUUGCACAAUGGACGAAAGUCUGAUGCAGCAACGCCGCGUGGAGGAUGACACAUUUCGGUGCGUAAACUCCUUUUAUAUGAGAAGAUAAUGACGGUAUUAUAUGAAUAAGCACCGGCUAACUCCGUGCCAGCCGCCGCCGUAA
rnacentral:rRNA from 1 species